CGGCCUCUCCCCGCGGCCCGAGGGGGCUGGCGCUGAUGUCGGUGGCCGGGGACCGUUGAGGGAAGAGUUACAGCGGCGGAGCGGCUUUAACUGGCAAAGCCUUUUCCCCGUUUGGCCUUUCAGGAGCCAGUUUUGCAGCGGUCCUCUCGGGAUCGGGCGCUUCUGUGCGCAGUGAGGCCGGAGCAGGCCGGGCGGUGCUGGUGCCCGGCAGCAUGCCGGCUGCAUAGCCUAGCUGAGAGGGGAGGGAAGCUCCCUGAGGGCUCAGCGUGCUCUGAACCACCACAGUCACAGAUUGGGCCGUUGUCUUGUCGUGAACCUUCCGCUGGCUUGACAACCCAGGCUGGGCUGCACCAGACUGCUCUUCGUGUCAGAGCUUUUCAAAAACAAAGCCAAGAACCAACCAUACCACUCCUGGUAGUGAUCAAGUUCUACAGCCCACGCCGUGAUAAAUGUGCUUGUGUAACUAACUGGGUGACCUGCUGCUUUCAAAGAAGCUUUGCUUCCCCUCCCUAAGCUGAAAGGCAGGAGUCGUUGCUUCAUCGCUUGUAAAGCUUAGAAGGACCCAUGACAAUUCUCCUGCCCAAACAUUUUUAGCGCAGGCCGUCGGUGCGGUUUGCAUUUAGCAUUUCAUCGAGAGGCCACAUGGGUGUGGUAACAGCCUAGAUUUUUAUGUUCUCAGGGCUCACGUCCAUGACAGUCCCAGCCUCCGCCUCUUUCCCCCGUUAAGUCCCUCUGCUCGCAAACAGGGAAAAAUGAAUCCCUCUUCCAUGUGCCCUGGCUCAGCCGUUCUCCAGGAAGACCUGAGUCAGAUGUUUGGUACCUAAACCAAAUACCUGAGGAAGGUGGGGAAGAAGGAGACAAUUGCUGGAGGGAGACACACAGUUACUAAACCAGCCUAAUGUAAACAAGAUCUAAAGCAAGAGUUCAAAGUUAUUAAAACUAGGGGAAAAUGCCAAAGAAGGAAAUUCUUCUCUGUUCAGUCACCCAGCUCCAGAGCCAAUGAAACCUGCUUUACCAUCCCUGAAAGAUGAUUUAUGAGCAUGUUUUUACUCUGCAGACAACAAUAACAACAAGGCUGCUCUCUGUGGACUUUCUCAUCAAUGGAGCUCAAAGUGUUUCUCAGAGAAGGUGGGUGUCACUGCCCAUUUGCAGAUGAGGAAAACGAGGCACAGGAAAGAAGGGAUUUUGCUACAGCCAUCAGCAUGUGAGAGAGCGUGAAGGAGAUCCUCCAUCAAGUACAUUCACUGCUAAACUGUCACUCAGCAACCAUAAGUGCAAAUUUUGAAAAAUAAUUUGCGACAGGACAUGUCUUACUGUCUCAGCAGGGGCUCUCUGUGUGGCACAUGGACUCAUUUGAAAGGAAGACACACCUAAUUACACCACAUGGGCCUGGAUAUGAGCUGGAGAUGAUGGAAGAGCGCAGUUGAGCUGGACAAACGGAGACACAGCAAUUCCAAGGGUCAAAAAAAAAAGGGGGUGGGGGAAGAGUACAGGAAUAGCUGCAUUCAGUAUAGCAGCAUAACAACUGGCGGGGAGAUAAGCAACUUGUGGGAGCUGUGUUAGUUUCUAAUGAUGGGUUGAUUGGGUAAUGAUAGUUGUCUCGCAGCUGGGAGCUCUAGAUUGUGAAGCUCCACAACGUAUGAGCUGUGGUGGAAACGAGAGAAGAGACACUUCAGAAAUUUAACUCUGAGGGAUGCUGAACAAUCACUGUAAGAUGAGGUUAUUCUCCUCCUUGCAGCAUCCAUCUCCGUUAGCAUCACAGAGGAGAACCUCAUUCCUAGGCUGGUUUAGCCCUACCACCCUAGAUUUCUUUGUUUUAUCAGGAUAAAAAAUAAAAGUUCACAAGUUUUGCUUUUUCAGCUAUUUACAGCUUCUUGCACUGGAAGGGUAAGUAAGUCUUGUGUUCUGGCACCUUGUUAAUGGAUAAUGAAAAAACUUUAGUAAUAAAAAAAGUUCUUUAAUAGUACUUCAUUUUUUUCCCCCUCUUUGCUGGUUGCAAAAUCCAGGUGGAAAGGAAAGCAGACAGGAAAUUCAGUGUUGCUUAUUUUAAGAUUCUGAAUAAAUUUGCCUUCCCACUUGCCUCUCUUUUCCCCUGCAAAACAGACCAAACGCAACUCAUUCUUCGCUCAUGCAUAGUUACUGAAACCACUGGGCUGCCCGUGGGAGGCAAACCUCAGUAUGUCUGUAGAUGUUAUUGCAAACAGAGCACAAAAAUAUCCCUUACAAAAGUGACUCUUCCACCCACUCUUGUCUCGAUAUGCUGUUGUACCAAAAGCCUUGAAGAGAGGCGGAAUUCACCCCCUCAAGGAGGGGACCUCAGCAAGGGGUGAUGCUUCUUUCAUCUUUAAUGCAACCAUGCUGGCUGAAUGGACCCUUGGAAACCUCUUGACCAUAUCUCAUAAUUGCAUAUAUGGUUUGGAAAGGUCUGGAUAAAUGAUGCGUCUUAGACUUCAAAAGAGGCAUAGAUUAAUCAUCCUGAGACCCAAGUUCCUUUGGUGCAUUCACCCCCUCCCAGUUUCUCCAGCGUUUCCAUUUCUGGUUGCAGGUUGCCUUUGUGGGAAUGAGAGGAUGUAGAAAAGAAGGCAAAAACCUGCAGCAGAGUUAUUUUGAAGAGUGAUUUAUGAGAGGAUUUGGAUGGUAUUGGAAUCACCUGAAAGUUCAGCCAUGGACUUAUUAACCUUUCUUGAGGAAGCAGUGCAAGCAAACACAAAGGAGAAGAAGCCACCUCUUUAGGGAUGAGGAAGAACACUGGUAGAUGUUUGUCCUGGAGACAGAAGCUGAAGCUAAAUACCAGUGCAUUGAAACAGGACAGCCUGCCACCCUUUAAAGUCACCUGUGUUCUGUUCGUGGGUAGAAUGCACAUCUGCUUUGCAGGAUUUACUCCUUGUUUAUUAACGUGAGCAUCGUGAGACCUAAGAGAGGUGCAACCCAAAAAGUUGAUGUCUUAAGGAGAAUUAAUGUGCUUGUAAGACUUCAGAAAGCAGAAACUGUCAAAUUUGGCUACAGCACAAUGAGAUGGGACACAAAUAUUUUCCAAUAGGCAAUAUGCUUCAAGACCCCGGAAGGUCAGAAAAUACACAGAGCAUUACAAAACAGCCAUACUAACUUCAAAGAGAUCACAUUUGGAAAGAGAGGACUACGAGGCAAAAUAUCUGCCACUUCAGCACUCUUGGACUCAAGCCUGCAAGGCCAUCCAAAUGAGAUCACAGGCACAGUCCUAACAGCAGUAAGCAAUAGCUAAAAUGCCUGGGUAGGAUGAGCUUGCUGUUGACCACUCAUACCUGGAGCUUGUUGGAAAUACUUCUGAUAAACUGUGGUGCAGCACACACUGACUCACCCCAACCGUAUCACCAGCAGUGCUGCCUGCUUCCCACGGCCCAGGAUUCCCAGCUAAGCUGGCAGGCUGCAGCCCUUUGGCAACCAGGACCAUUUCAAGUUUCAGUAUUUUCAAAAGGAUACAACUGAACAUUAUUUCAGGACCACACGGACAGAUUUUUUGCUGUGUGCUGAAACUUUUGGAAAUGUGCCUUUCUGUUCCAAAACAGAAGAACUCUUCCUCUCAUCCAGCCCCCAAAUCAUAAUGCCCAUGGGAUGGACAUGCUGGCAUUUGCCUGUUUGUGCUCAACACCCUUUCUCCUCCUCCCCCCCCCCCCGACCCCUUCCCAAGUUGUAUGUACUGAACUGACAUCAUUGAGCUCCCAGUCCUGCAGAAGGCUGGAGAGAGAUCACAGAUGCUCAACAGAGGAGGGAGUGGAAAAGAAAAAGAAAGGGAGGACAGUUGCUCAAUAAUAAUGCCACCCCCCCACCCCCCGCAAAUUUCACUGCUCUGUUACAUAGGGAAAGCAAAGUAGGACACUUUCCCCAUGUAAAAUAAUCCACGUUGCCUCAAUUCAGAGCAAUUCUUUAUCAUAGACUUUUAGAAGAGGAAGAGUGAAGUUUGCCACAGGGCCUUCACACACAAAUUUUACUGUCAGUGAAAAUCAGCUGAUUUUCAGCCAAUUUUGAAGGAUUUUCAUGCCUUUGAGGAUGUAAUGCUCACCUGAUGCAUAGUGCUGUUGAACUGCUGGGAUCCUUUAAAGAAGGCCAUAUGAACAGACUGAGAAGUUGUUGGUGUUAGAGGUCACUGAAGUACCUGGGCUGUGGUUUGUGGGAUGGAUACUCAGAAAGAGCAGUGAGGCAGUGACACAGGCUGCCCACUGUCCCUGGAGGUGUUCAAGAGCCGUGUGGAUGUGGCACUGAGGGACGUGGGCAGUGGGCAUGGUGGGGGUGGGCUGAUGGUUGGAUUUGGUGAUCUUAGAGGUCUUUUCCAACCUUACUGAUUCUGUGAUUUUGUGGGUUCUAGCAUCCCUCAUGCUUUUGCCUGCUGAGCUUUGGGGGCCAGAAAACCUGUACCCUUGUACCUGGGAUGUCCCUGUACAGAGACCGGAGCUGCAUUUUGAAUUGAUGGGUGUUGGUGCUGAGGGGGUCUGAUUCGAGAAUACAGUGGCAAUGGCAAUGUGCAGCUGGCUGGUGUAAGCACCAUGAAGUGCACCCAGACCUCAGAGCUCCCUAGGGAAUGAAGUGUAGGCUUCCUUGGGUAUAGCUUGCAGGAUGGGUCAAGCGCAGCAGCAGCAGAGCAUGGCAUGAAGGCUGUAAUGGGAUUGCCUCUAAGCUUCCACAGAAAAGCUGCAGAUGUUCCUGUAUUUGGGGCAUUUGAAAGUAAAACAGCCGGAGGUAUUUUUUACAUGCUGCAGGAAACAAUUCUGCAUCAGCAGGGAACAGGUCUCUAUCUUCUGACAGCCGUCCUAGCCUUCGGAACCAGUGUUUAUGAAGUCCACAAAUCAGACCUAACCCCCUCUCUGCUCUGCAAGCAGGCUAUGUUUUAAAUCUGUGUAUUAGAUUUUCUUUCUAAAUUGUUUUAUCCUCCUCUCACAAACCCAAACAAUUCCCAGACAGUGACUCGUGCUGACUAAUCCAGUCUGGGAGACUUCUAGGUGUCCCUGUAACUUAAAACCAGAAAACAAGCUUCCUAAUUCAGUAGCUAGACAUUCCAAUGAAGACCUGCAGGUUCCGAGCCUUUAUUUUCUUUCUCCUCACAGUUAAACAUGCUUUUAUCUGUGCGGAGUCUCCCUCCCCCAGCAGGCAAGAGCUACAAUGAGCUGCAGUUCGGACAUUCCUUCCCUGAAACGCUGCUCCGCAGGGCAUCCCGGUAGCAAAGUUUAUGUGAGUCCUCAGCAGAGUUAAACAGGGAUAAAAGGUGCUGUCUUCCUGCAACAGGGGGUGCCUAAGGAGACACGCUCCCAAAGCAUCUUACAGACCUGCAAAUACCCCGUGUUGUAAAAAUACGGUGGGACAUCAUUAAAUAGUAUUUUUGGCCCAUUUACAGUUCUGGACUGAGUCAUUCUUCAGUGAUGUCUGGAAACCACAGUGUCAUUACAAGGUCUUCCAGCACUGUAGCAGUGGCAGUGUUGAUAGGCUUAUAAGCUAUGAAUGCUGUGAACAGGAUCUGUCUCAGAGCAGCUAAUGCAGAGUUUACAUUCAGUUCCAUGACCGCACACGUAGCACCAAUACCAGGAUUUCUGUGCCUGCUCAGAAAAAGGGUACAACUUCUGGGCACAGUACACUCACCACUAAUCCAAGCCUGUUGUCUUGAUAAGCCACUGUGAUAAGCCACUGAAAAGAGGGAAAAAAGCCAUGUAAACCAAAAGUAACACACCUGUGUUGUCUUUCCAGAACAGCUGUGUUGAGUCGUCCAAUGCCUUUCAGGCGGAUAUUAUUUAAUAAGCUGCUUUAGCUCUGAAGCCUGAAUCCAGAGGGAGGGGUUUCCUCAUUGCACAAGUCAAACAAAGCAGUGCAGAGGACACCCAUGACAAUGGCCUUUGUAAUUAAAGCCUGUCCAAAGCUGUCAGUCAGGAUGUAAGGGUAGAACAACAAGUCAACAGCUGUGUGGGUUCACCCUGCCAGCCCCUCCUCUCACAAACAGCAGCUUCGAGCCUUUGUAUUCCUCACCUUUUUGCACUUUCUUCUUCCUCCCCCUCAAACUGUUAGAGGUGAGGCUGAGCUGGCCCGUCUCAGCUACCAGAGGAAGGCAUGGCCAAGCCACCUGCCUCACAGGGAUGCCCAGGGGCAGCUUCUCAGAGAGCAGAGGGUCCAGGGAGGACAGCUGUCCCUGCUUCCUCCCCUCACCCUGUGGAAAGCAGGUAAUGUUGGUAUGCACUGCAAGGGAAUGGUGGAACGUUUGCAUCAUGUCCAAGUGGCCACUGCAGUCCUUUGCCUUCCCCUCCCAUAUGAAAUGGAAACUCUGCUCAUACGUCCUCCCUAUAGUCUUCAAAAUCUAGCUACAAAUAUUUCUCCUGAGUUGCCCUUGGGCGUAAUAUUUUUGGUUUUUGUUUUGACUGUCGCUAUUUGUAGCUUCUCUUCCUGCUGUGUUAAAGUAGAAAACGAAAUAAAUCUGCGCUCUGCUU